UGGGGAAUUUUGGACAAUGGGCGAAAGCCUGAUCCAGCAAUGCCGCGUGUGUGAAGAAGGCCUUCGGGUUGUAAAGCACUUUUGUCCGGAAAGAAAUCCUUGGCUCUAAUACAGUCGGGGGAUGACGGUACCGGAAGAAUAAGCACCGGCUAACUACGUGCCAGCAGCCGCGGUAAUACGUAGGGUGCAAGCGUUAAUCGGAAUUACUGGGCGUAAAGCGUGCGCAGGCGGUUUGCUAAGACCGAUGUGAAAUCCCCGGGCUCAACCUGGGAACUGCAUUGGUGACUGGCAGGCUAGAGUAUGGCAGAGGGGGGUAGAAUUCCACGUGUAGCAGUGAAAUGCGUAGAGAUGUGGAGGAAUACCGAUGGCGAAGGCAGCCCCCUGGGCCAAUACUGACGCUCAUGCACGAAAGCGUGGGGAGCAAACAGGAUUAGAUACCCUGGUAGUCCACGCCCUAAACGAUGUCAACUAGUUGUUGGGGAUUCAUUCCUUAGUAACGUAGCUAACGCGUGAAGUUGACCGCCUGGGGAGUACGGUCGCAAGAUUAAAACUCAAAUGAA
rnacentral:rRNA from 1 species